rnacentral:rRNA from 1 species
UUGAUACUGUCAGACUAUAGUUUAUUUGACGUAGGCGGAAUGUAGCAUGUAUCGGUGAAAUGCUUAGAGAUGCUACAGAACACCGAUAGCGAAGGCAGCUUACGAAGAUAUAACUGACGCUCAUGCACGAAAGUGUGGGGAUCGAACAGGAUUAGAUACCCUGGUAGUCCACACUGUAAACGAUGAUAACUCGCUGUCGGCGAUAUACAGUCGGUGGCCAAGCGAAAGCGAUAAGUUAUCCGCGUGGGGAGUACGACCGCAAGGUUGAAACUCAAAGGAAUUGACGGGGGCCCGCACAAUCGGAGGAACAUGUGGUUUAAUUCGAUGAUACGCGAGGAACCUUACCCGGGCUCGAAUGGUGCAUGAAUGUCAGAGAGAUUUGACAGUCCUUCGGGACAUGUAUCGAGGUGCUGCAUGGUUGUCGUCAGCUCGUGCCGUGAGGUGUCGGCUUAAGUGCCAUAACGAGCGCCAC